UGGAGAUGAUUUAAACUUGAAUAAAAAGACAAAAAAAAAAUUAUUAUAAGAGUCAAGAGUUGGAAAGUUAAAAUGGAGUCUAAAAAGUUUCUCAAAACUAAAAAUAAUGAAUAAAACAAUCAUUUUGGAUUGUAAAUGGAUUGGACAUUGGCCCUUUCCAUUUUGAUCCUCAUGAACGAGCGGAGUGUCAUAAGAUAUUCCCAAGGUGCUCCUAGAAGUUCUUGCAAUCUUAUCACGGAGCACCGCGGGAGAACAUUUAACUAGAAGUUCACGCCUCCUUCCUUACCAAUGUUGCUUAUUGGGCUAGAGCCACGUCGAACCUCGAACCUCUGGGUUCUGAGCCAGAACUUUAACCACUGUGGCACGGCUGCUCUAAUAAACAUCAAUAUUAAUACCAAUUUUUAACAUUAUUAGAAUUUUUGUUUUUAAUAAAAAUAAAAAUAUUAUAUCAGUUA